AACGUAGGUGGCAAGCGUUGUUCGGAAUUACUGGGUGUAAAGGGAGCGCAGGUGGGCGUGCAAGUUGAAUGUGAAAUGUAUGGGCUCAACCCAUAAAUUGCGUUCAAAACUGUGCGUCUUGAGUGGAGUAGAGGCAGGCGGAAUUCCAGGUGUAGCGGUGGAAUGCGUAGAUAUCUGGGGGAACACCAGUGGCGAAGGCGGCCUGCUGGGCUCUAACUGACACUGAGGCUCGAAAGCGUGGGUAGCAAACAGGAUUAGAUACCCUGGUAGUCCACGCCGUAAACGAUGAUUACUAGGUGUGGGGGGAUUGACCCCCUCCGUGCCGCAGUUAACACAAUAAGUAAUCCACCUGGGGAGUACGACCGCAAGGUUGAA
rnacentral:rRNA from 1 species